GCUCCCCACCCGGCCUUGGCCGUGACCACACAGGACUGUGCGUUAUGACAUCACCUGUUUUCGCUCUUUAGAACAUGAUCUGUAGUCUCAGCUUCUCCUUUUUUAGAGGUCUCUAGUGUACCGGGAUUUGGGAAGGCCUGCAGUCCGCAGAAUGAAUCUGGAGAUGAUGUCAAACAACGGUUUCACUGUCAGCCUGGUUAUUAUAAAGGGAAUGCGACUCAGAGGCUAAUUGACUUGUGAAUCCUGGAUCACACUUUUAAGAGGGAAGAAAACAAAAGUCACUUCUUCAGAUUUCGCACAGAACAAGGAGAAACUCCCUUUUGUUGUGUGUUUAUUUAUUUAUUUUGCGAGAGUGCACAGGAUGGGGAGGGAGAGAGAGAGAGAGAGCGAGAAUCCCAGGCAGGCUCUGCACCAUCAGCACAGAGCUGGGACCCAGAAACCACAAGAUCAUGACCUGAGCCGAAACCAAGAGUCAGACGCGUAACCCCCUGAGCCACCCAGGCACCCUUGUUUUACAUUGUUUUUUAAAAUAACUUUUGCCUGUUUUGAAA